CUAACCACCUAAGUGAGGGCACUGAAGCUGCCGGGGGAAGGGCAAGGUCCGCGUUGCAGAGCCCAAGCCCAGUGGCGCAGGAUUUGUUUUGGUCUCAGUUUGCUUCAUCUCUGGAAUGGAGAUGGUUUCCUAUGUGAUCAUGAAAAUUUCUCCCAGCUCUGAAGACCUUUUAUUUUCAUCCCCCAUGAAGUGGCGCUGAAAGAUCACGAUAGCACAGUUCCAUGAUGUGAAAUACCACAAGUCUGCAAUUUUUCGGUCUUGAGAGUGUCGCUGGGCUGAGAGGAUGGAAAUCUUUCAGUAAUUAUACCAGUUUGUAUUCGUCUCACAUUUGGGACCAAAUACAAAUCCGAUCCACUCUUUCUCCCUGUGAAUAUUCAUAAAAAACAAAGUGCCAAUUCUGGUCUAAUCAUGUAUGGAACCAAAUAUGUUGAUGAGUCCUAAGUAUAUACUGUAUGUAUGUAUACAUAUGAAUAUAUAUAUUUGUACACACUAA
rnacentral:lncRNA from 10 species